GAGAAGAACGUAGCGAAAUGCGAUAAGUAAUGUGAAUUGCAGAAUUCAGUGAAUCAUCGAAUCUUUGAACGCACAUUGCGCCCGUCAGUAUUCUGGCGGGCAUGCCUGUUCGAGCGUCAUUACGCCCCUCAAGUCCCCUGUGGACUUGGUGUUGGGGAUCGGCGAGGCUGGUUUUCCAGCACAGCCGUCCCUUAAAUUAAUUGGCGGUCUCGCCGUGGCCCUCCUCUGCGCAGUAGUAAAACACUCGCAACAGGAGCCCGGCGCGGUCCACUGCCGUAAAACCCCCCAACUUUUUAUAGUUGACCUCGAAUCAGGUAGGACUACCCGCUGAACUUAAGCAUAUAAUAAGCGGAGGA
rnacentral:misc_RNA from 1 species